rnacentral:rRNA from 1 species
GACGAACGCUGGCGGCGUGCUUAACACAUGCAAGUCGAACGGAAAGGCCCUGCUUUUGUGGGGUGCUCGAGUGGCGAACUGGUGAGUAACACGUGAGUAACCUGCCCUUGACUUUGGGAUAACUUCAGGAAACUGGGGCUAAUACCGGCUAGGAGCUCCUGCUGCAUGGUGGGGGUUGGAUAGUUUCGGCGGUUGGGGAUGGACUCGCGGCUUAUCAGCUUGUUGGUUGGGUAGUGUCUUACCAAGGCUUUGACGGGUAGCCGUCCUGAGAGGGUGACCGGCCACAUUGGGACGGAAAUACGGCCCAGACUCCUACGGGAGGCAACAGUGGGGAAUAUUGCACAAUGGGCGGAAGCCUGAUGCAGCAACGCCGCGUGCGGGAUGACGGCCUUCGGGUUGUAAACCGCUUUCGCCUGUGACGAAGCGUGAGUGACGGUAAUGGGUAAAGAAGCACCGGCUAACUACGUG